rnacentral:rRNA from 1 species
CCUACGGGGCGCAGCAGUGGGGAAUAUUGCACAAUGGGGGAAACCCUGAUGCAGCAACGCCGCGUGAGUGAUGACGGCCUUCGGGUUGUAAACUUCUGUUCUUAGUGAAGAAGAGUGACGGUAGCUAAGGAGCAAGCCACGGCUAACUACGUGCCAGCAGCCGCGGUAAUACGUAGGUGGCAAGCGUUGUCCGGAAUUACUGGGUGUAAAGGGAGCGCAGGCGGGAAGCCAAGUCAGCUGUGAAAACUACGGGCUUAACUUGUAGACUGCAGUUGAAACUGGUUUUCUUGAGUGAAGUAGAGGGU